CCUUUUUGUAAAUAGUUGCUUUUUGUAAAUAUUUGCUAAAUACACAUCUUUUCUGAUUUGCACAAGGAAGAGUAAUGAGCCUUGUGGCAGAACACAAUGCACCGUCAGUUCCCACCCUUUCCCUGGGAGAAGCUUGGUCUGGAAUCAUUCACAGGACACCACCUUGUCCAGGAAGUGAUUAUUUGCAUGAAGAUUUGCAUUUAAAUGGAUGUGGAGAGUACAUUAACAACACCUACACCAACCAUGUAAAAGCUGCACAGUAUUUGUUGCUGCCAGACAUGAAUGGGGAAAAGAAAUCAAUGAGUGUUUUGCAAGGAGAGUCCUCAGGUAUCUGUCUGCCCUUCUGACCUUUGAAUGAGUGGUAUUUGGUGUUGAGACAAGUUACAUCCGAAUCCACACUACAAAAAUGUGC
rnacentral:lncRNA from 9 species